rnacentral:rRNA from 1 species
UACGGGGGGGGCAAGCGUUGUUCGGAAUUACUGGGCGUAAAGGGCGCGUAGGCGGCCUGCUAAGUCGGACGUGAGAUCCCUCGGCUCAACCGGGGAACUGCGUCCGAUACUGGUGGGCUUGAAUCCGGGAGAGGGAUGCGGAAUUCCAGGUGUAGCGGUGAAAUGCGUGGAUAUCUGGAGGAACACCGGUGGCGAAGGCGGCAUCCUGGACCGGCAUUGACGCUGAGGCGCGAAAGCUAGGGGAGCAAACGGG